rnacentral:antisense_RNA from 1 species
CGGACCGUGUACUCCCAGAUGGCGUCGGAGUCGAGCAGCGCCUGCUCACCGAGGUAGGCGCCGUCGGCGAGGACGCCGAGGGACUCGUCCUCGCCGUAGGGUCCGGUGCCGAGCUUUUCCACCCUGCCGUGCGCCAGCAGGUACACCUCGUCGGUCGGACUGCCGAACGAGGCGAUCAGCGUCCCUGCCGCGAACUCCCGCUGCUGGCAGCGCUGGGCGAGCUCCGAGAGCACGUCCUCGUCGUCGUACGACCGCAACGCCGGCAGUUCCGUCAGCUCGGCCGGGAUGACCUCGACGCGGUCUCCGGUCUUCACGAACGUGAUGCGUCCGUCCCCGACGGCGUACGUCAGGCGCCGGUUCACCCGGUACGUGCCGCCCUGCACAUUCACCCAGGGCAGCAUGCGCAGCAGCCAGCGGGAGCUGAUCUCCUGCAUCUGGGGUGCGGACUUGGUCGUGGUGGCCAGGUUCCGCGCGGCCGCAGUGCCGAGACUCUGCUG